GUGAGUCAAGCUACUAAGGGCACAUGGGGGAUGCCUUGGCGCCAGAAGCCGAAGAAGGACGUAGCAAGACUGCGAUAAGCCACGAUUAGCUGCCUAGCGAGCUUAGUCGUGGAUUUCCGAAUGGGGGAACCCAUCUACUUCGGUAGUUACCUUGGUCGUAAGACCUUGGUGGUAAGCAGGGGAACUGAAACAUCUAAGUACCCUGAGGAAAGUAAAUCAACAGAGACUCCCCUAGUAGCGGCGAGCGGACGGGGAUUAGCCCAAACCAUUAGAGCCUAACGGACUGAAGUCUUAUGCCUUAGUGGUGUUGUAGGGUCAAACACGAGGAACCUUCAGAUUCCUCCGAGAGUUACAAAGUGUGCAUCUAGCUGAAUAGUUCUGGAACGACUAACCGUAGUGGGUGAAAGUCCCGUAGGCGAAAGUUGUGCACCUCUUUGUUUGAUUCCUGAGUACGACGGGACACGUGAAAUCUUGUCGGAACCUGGGGGGACCACCCUCCAAGGCUAAGUACUUCUGGCGACCGAUAGUGAACAAGUACCGUGAGGGAAAGGUGAAAAGCACCCCGUGAGGGGAGUGAAAUAGAACUGAAACCAUGUGCCUACAAUCCGUUG
rnacentral:rRNA from 1 species